AUCCCAUGGUGAGGGCAAUUUUUAAUCAUCAUAUUAAAACGUUCAAAUGCCUCAUGGAACAUCUCACCAUGUUGUUGUUGGAAACUCCUCAACCCCUUUCUAGCAU
rfam:Helianthus annuus linkage group 16, whole genome shotgun sequence.